UACAGAGGGGGCAAGCGUUAUUCGGAAUUAUUGGGCGUAAAGGGCGCGUAGGCGGCUUGGCAAGUGGAUGGUGAAAUCCCUCGGCUUAACCGAGGAACUGCCGUCCAAACUGCUUUGCUUGAGACCGGGAGAGGUGAGUGGAAUUCCCAGUGUAGCGGUGAAAUGCGUAGAUAUUGGGAGGAACACCAGUGGCGAAGGCGGCUCACUGGACCGGUACUGACGCUGAGGCGCGAAAGCUAGGGGAGCAAACGGGG
rnacentral:rRNA from 1 species